rnacentral:rRNA from 1 species
AGAGUUUGAUCCUGGCUCAGGACGAACGCUGGCGGCGUGCUUAACACAUGCAAGUCGAGCGAUGAAGCUUCCUUCGGGAAGUGGAUUAGCGGCGGACGGGUGAGUAACACGUGGGUAACCUGCCUCAAAGUGGGGGAUAACCUUCCGAAAGGAAGAUUAAUACCGCAUAAUAUAGGAGAAUCGCAUGAUUUUCUUAUCAAAGAUUUAUUGCUUUGAGAUGGACCCGCGGCGCAUUAGCUAGUUGGUAAGGUAACGGCUUACCAAGGCAACGAUGCGUAGCCGACCUGAGAGGGUGAUCGGCCACAUUGGAACUGAGACACGGUCCAGACUCCUACGGGAGGCAGCAGUGGGGAAUAUUGCGCAAUGGGGGAAACCCUGACGCAGCAACGCCGCGUGGGUGAUGAAGGUCUUCGGAUUGUAAAGCCCUGUUUUCUAGGACGAUAAUGACGGUACUAGAGGAGGAAGCCACGGCUAACUACGUGCCAGCAGCCGCGGUAAUACGUAGGUGGCGAGCGUUGUCCGGAUUUACUGGGCGUAAAGGGUGCGUAGGCGGAUGUUUAAGUGGGAUGUGAAAUCCCCGGGCUUAACCUGGGGGCUGCAUUCCAAACUGGAUAUCUAGAGUGCAGGAGAGGAAAGCGGAAUUCCUAGUGUAGCGGUGAAAUGCGUAGAGAUUAGGAAGAACACCAGUGGCGAAGGCGGCUUUCUGGACUGUAACUGACGCUGAGGCACGAAAGCGUGGGUAGCAAACAGGAUUAGAUACCCUGGUAGUCCACGCCGUAAACGAUGGAUACUAGGUGUAGGGGGUAUC